GCCGGGCGCAGUGGCGCUCACCUGUAAUCCCUGUGGCAUGGGAGGCUGAGACAGGAGGAUUUCAAGUUCAAAGCCAGUCUCAGCAAAAAGCAAGGCACUGAACAACUCAGUGUAGACCCUGUCUCUA
rnacentral:sRNA from 1 species